rnacentral:lncRNA from 1 species
GUGGUGAUCUUUCUGGGUUUUUUUUUCUACUUUAUUAUAUUUAUAUGAUGCUAUGUUUUGUCUGCAUGUAUGUUUAUGUGCACUAGGUGUUCAGUGCCCAAGUUGGCCAGAAGAGGGCCUGGAUCCCCUGGAACUGCAGAUAUAGAUGGUUGUGAUCCACUGUGUGGGGGCUGGGAGUCAAAUCUGGGUCUGCAAGAGCAACCAGUGCUCUUAACCUCUGAGCCACCCUUCAAGCCUACUUUGAAUUUGAAAGAGCCAAAAAACAAUUCACCGGUAAAACAGAAAUCUUUAUUUGACCCAGUUGGGACACUUGACACUCGAGGCUCCAAUUCCCCGGCGCCUUCACAGCUUCCUCGAGAUGGUGUUUUCGAGUAGAACUGCCUUGCUCUUUCUGCCUCAUCUGCUUUGUCUGAAAGCUGGUUCCGACUGGCAGCAGGAGCUAGCUGUGGCAUUCCCUUGGUGGCUCUCAAAUCCCACGGUCCCCUCGGGUCCCUCCUAUGCUUGGGAAUCCUGGGCAGUGGAAUAUCUGGCCCAGGAAUAGGCAGGUGCACUUGUCUCUGUGACCCUGGCUCCUGCUUCUCCUGUCUACCUGCCUGCUCUGCCCUGGAGCUAUGGGGUGGCAAGGACUGAUCCUAAAGAGUAAGGUCACACUUCUGUUUGCUCACAUCACUCAGCCUUGCCAGCAGAGCCCCACAGGCCACCGGUGCCAGCACCGCUGCAUCACCAGGAUCCCCCUCUUUGUUUCACUCAUUCUGGGGGAGAAUGGAAGGACACAGGUGGGGAGCAAACGGAUGCUGCCCAACUGUCCAUGGAUUACGGUUGAAUCACACCUUCAACGCCAGUGUCGUAAGGUAGCACUGCCUACCUGCAUGCCACCUGUCCCCCAUGAAGCCUGUGGGCAUCUCCCACCUCCCACUCAAGCUGACUUCCUGCCAGUCUUGCUGGGAAACAUCUGAUUGACAGGCAAGCAUCCAUUCUUCCUGACUCUGAGUGGCUAGAGCCACUCGUUCCAUUCUGAUCACCCAUCCAGUAUGUAGAUGUCUCCGGGUCAAUUUAUGUAUUAAUUUGUCACUCGCUGCAUAAUAUUUAGUACUGAGAUAAAAAACAAAUAAGCCAAU